GUGGCCAAAUUGGUAAAGGCGCCUCAAUACACCCAGUCUCAUCCCUUGUCCGAGAGGUAAAUGCGCGAAAUGACUCGAGAUUUCGGGCCGAUGUAUGUGGGUUACCCUAUCACGGAGGAGGCCGUAGGUUCAAAUCCUACGCCGGC
rnacentral:tRNA from 1 species